rnacentral:rRNA from 1 species
GACGAACGCUGGCGGCGUGCUUAACACAUGCAAGUCGAACGGUAAGGCCCUUCGGGGUACACGAGUGGCGAACGGGUGAGUAACACGUGGGUGAUCUGCCCUGCAUUUCGGGAUAAGCCUGGGCAACUGGGUCUAAUACCGGAUAGGACCACUGCCUGCAUGGGAGGUGGUGGAAAGAUGUUGCGGUGUGGGAUGGGGCCGCGGCCGAUCAGCUUGUUGGGGGGGUGAUGGCUUACCAAGGCGACGACGGGUAGCCGGACUGAGAGGGUUGCCGGCCACAGUGGGACUGAGAUACGGCCCAGAAUCCUACGGGAGGCAGCAGUGGGGAAUAUUGCACAAUGGGCGCAAGCCUGAUGCAGCGACGCCGCGUGAGGGAUGACGGCCUUCGGGUUGUAAACCUCUUUCAGCACCGACGAAGCGCAAGUGACGGUAGGUGCAGAAGAAGGACCGGCCAACUACGUGCCAGCCGCCGCCGUAACAC